CCAACGGCCCUCUUUAGGGCCACAUACCGUUCCUUGAGUUCUUG
rfam:Necator americanus N_americanus-1.0_Cont215.3, whole genome shotgun sequence.